UACGUAGGGUGCGAGCGUUAAUCGGAAUUACUGGGCGUAAAGCGUGCGCAGGCGGUUUUGCAAGCCGGAUGUGAAAUCCCCGGGCUUAACCUGGGAACUGCGCUUCUAACUGGCAGGCUAGAGUGUGGCAGAGGGGGGUGGAAUUCCCGGUGUAGCGGUGAAAUGUGUAGAGAUCGGGAGGAACACCGGUGGCGAAGGCGGGUCUCUGGGCAUCUCCUGACGCUGAGGCGCGAAAGCGUGGGGAGCAAACGGG
rnacentral:rRNA from 1 species